GGCUCUGCUAAAUUUUCCGUCAGAAAACGCUUAGGUGUUUGGAUAAAGGAAGCUGUUAACUCUUUUGUGGAGCCGCGGCUGUGUUAUGCUGCCUUUACCACCCGGUCGGAGGGGGCCGAUGUAGGUCGAGGCGUUUCCGGUCCGCUUCGGGCUGCACACGGAGUUUGAAUGAAUGGCAUGGAAGGUGCUGUCUGAAUGAGAUACUUUGUCACAGGGGACUGAUUUAGGACCAUCGCCAACAGUUUUCGUGUUAGGGGUCUCCACGGUCUCCAUGAUAGUCCCUGAUGUGGCAACAGCCAUUUGGGACUGCUUUGUGAGGGAGUGCCCACCACAGAGGAGUGGAAGGAAAUCGCCAAGGUGUGAGGAGCGAUGGGAUCUUCCUCUCUGCUGUGGAGCACAAGAUGGAAAGCACAUGGUCAUCAAAGCCCGUGCUAACUCUGGAUCAGAGUUCCACAACUAUAAGAGAACGUACUAAUGGAGGGGAAGCAGGCUUUGGAGAAAAAUCUCACAAUGGAAUGGCGCUGGGGGUGGUGCAGUGGAGACGCUUAAAAUAAUUGAGCAUGUGCUCUUCUCAUCUCCCGUUCCCUCUCUUCCCUAUCAUGGCAGCGCUCCUUUUAUCUGUAUUAAACGGAAACAGCUUAGUUUGUGACACAAAACCAUUUGAUUGCACCGGACUAUUGCGAUAUUAGCCAUUCGAACUGAGGACUCUGCAUCUUUUUGCACAAUUGUUGUUUGUUGUUGUUUUUUGUCAAUGUCUUUAUGUCUCCAAAGUGUUCUGUAAAUUGACUGUCUGUUGUACUAGAGCGGCUCCAACUAUCGGAGACAAAUUCCUUGUGUGUUUUGGACAUACUUGGCAAAUAAAGAUGAUUCUGAUUCUGAUAGGUUGAGAUCUGUUGUGAUAUUUAAAUCACAGCACAGAACAAUUAGAAAAGUAACCCAAAGUAUAGAAUAAAGUACAAGUCACGCCGAAAAGCAUAGGAGUGUUUUAAGUGUACUUGUACCAAGAAUAUCAUGAUAUCCAAAUGUUAUGCAUACUUGGCAGUCUUGAUGGGCUACUCACAAAAGCAGCUGUUUCUUCCGUCACAUGCCCCCCCCUCCACCUAACAUAUUUAACUCAGCUGUGAGAGCAGUGACACUUUAUUAUAAAUCAAACUUUAUACAGCGCUUUUCAUACACGUCUCAAAGUGCUUUCCAUGAAUUACAGAAAUAAAAUCAACCCUGCCCGCUGUUUUGCGCACGCACGCACUUAGCGUAGCUUUCAGAGGGAGAGAGGACAUAGAGACAGUCUGUC